rnacentral:rRNA from 1 species
UACACUCCUGCGGGAGGCAGCAGUGGGGAAUUUUGGACAAUGGGCGAAAGCCUGAUCCAGCAAUGCCGCGUGAGUGAAGAAGGCCUUCGGGUUGUAAAGCUCUUUUGUCAGGGAAGAAACGGUGAGAGCUAAUAUCUUUUGCUAAUGACGGUACCUGAAGAAUAAGCACCGGCUAACUACGUGCCAGCAGCCGCGGUAAUACGUAGGGUGCAAGCGUUAAUCGGAAUUACUGGGCGUAAAGCGUGCGCAGGCGGUUUUGUAAGUCUGAUGUGAAAUCCCCGGGCUCAACCUGGGAAUUGCAUUGGAGACUGCAAGGCUAGAAUCUGGCAGAGGGGGGUAGAAUUCCACGUGUAGCAGUGAAAUGCGUAGAUAUGUGGAGGAACACCGAUGGCGAAGGCAGCCCCCUGGGUCAAGAUUGACGCUCAUGCACGAAAGCGUGGGGAGCAAACAGGAUUAGAAACCCGAGUAGUCCCAU